AACGCACGAGACCUGCGGACCUGCGGAGGGAUCAUUACUGAGUAACGUGGUCUUUUUUCAUGACCCGCUACCCGCCCUUUGUCAUAUGUUGGACGAGGUCGUCUUUAGGGGCGGCCUCCGACCCCACUUCCCGGGAGGCGUUGCGCCUCAUCAAAGUCUUGAUGAGGAUGGGACCGCCCGGGGUCUUUUUCAAACCCUUUGUGAGAAAUCUGAAGUCUGAAGCGAAAGCUUAAAAAUAAA
rnacentral:misc_RNA from 1 species